AAGGAUCAUUAUCGAUUCUUUAAGGAUGUGCUGGCUUCUUACUUAAGAAGCACUUGUGCACUCUGAAAACCAUUUCAUUCACCUGUGCACCCUAUUGUAGACAGGGAGAAAUCCUUUGUCUAUGAUUUUUUCAUUCACACAUGUUUUAUUGGUAUUAUGAAAAAUAAACAAUACAACUUUCAACAAUGGAUCUCUUGGUUCUC
rnacentral:misc_RNA from 1 species